CAGCAGCCGCGGGAAUACGUAGGUGGCAAGCGUUGUCCGGAAUUAUUGGGCGUAAAGGGCUCGCAGGCGGUUUCUUAAGUCUGAUGUGAAAGCCCCCGGCUCAACCGGGGAGGGUCAUUGGAAACUGGGAAACUUGAGUGCAGAAGAGGAGAGUGGAAUUCCACGUGUAGCGGUGAAAUGCGUAGAGAUGUGGAGGAACACCAGUGGCGAAGGCGACUCUCUGGUCUGUAACUGACGCUGAGGAGCGAAAGCGUAGGGAGCGAACAGGAUUAGAUACCCCUGUAGUCCCUGUCUCUUAUAA
rnacentral:rRNA from 1 species